AUUGAACGCUGGCGGCAGGCCUAACACAUGCAAGUCGAGCGGAUGAAGGGAGCUUGCUCCUGGAUUCAGCGGCGGACGGGUGAGUAAUGCCUAGGAAUCUGCCUGGUAGUGGGGGAUAACGUCCGGAAACGGGCGCUAAUACCGCAUACGUCCUGAGGGAGAAAGUGGGGGAUCUUCGGACCUCACGCUAUCAGAUGAGCCUAGGUCGGAUUAGCUAGUUGGUGGGGUAAAGGCCUACCAAGGCGACGAUCCGUAACUGGUCUGAGAGGAUGAUCAGUCACCCGGAACUGAGGAACGGCUCAGACUCCUACGGGAGGCAGCAGUGGGGACUAUUGGACGAUGGGCGAAAGCCUGAUCCAGCCAUGCCGCGUGUGUGAAGAAGGUCUUCGGAUUGUAAAGCACUUUAAGUUGGGAGGAAGGGCAGUAAGUUAAUACCUUGCUGUUUUGACGUUACCAACAGAAUAAGCACCGGCUAACUUCGUG
rnacentral:rRNA from 1 species